GGAGACCUGCUCGAGUGGUUGAAGAGGCACGCCUGGAAAGUGUGUAUACCCCUAAAGGGUAUCGAGGGUUCGAAUCCCUCGGUCUCCGCAA
rnacentral:tRNA from 1 species